rnacentral:tRNA from 1 species
AGGGCAGUAGCUCGGUGGCAGAGCUCCCACUUCGUAUGCUGGAGGACCUGGGUUCGAUUCCCGGUUGCUUUC